UACAGGGGGGGCAAGCGUUGUUCGGAAUUACUGGGCGUAAAGGGCCAGUAGGCGGCCAACUAAGUCCGACGUGAAAUCCCCAGGCUUAACCUGGGAACUGCGUCGGAUACUGGAUGGCUUGAAUUCGGGAGAGGGAUGCAGAAUUCCAGGUGUAGCGGUGAAAUGCGUAGAUAUUGGGAAGAACACCUGAGGCGAAGGCGGGUUGCUGGGCCGACACUGACGCUGAGGCGCGAAAGCGUGGGGAGCAAACAGG
rnacentral:rRNA from 1 species